rnacentral:rRNA from 1 species
CGGAGGGUGCAAGCGUUAUCCGGAUUCACUGGGUUUAAAGGGAGCGCAGGCGGACUGGUAAGUCAGUGGUGAAAUACCUGAGCUUAACUCGGGAACUGCCAUUGAUACUAUCAGUCUUGAAUGUUGUUGAGGUUUGCGGAAUGGGUCAUGUAGCGGUGAAAUGCAUAGAUAUGACCCGGAACACCUAUUGCGAAGGCAGCAGGCUAAACAAAUAUUGACGCUGAGGCUCGAAAGCGUGGGGAUCAAACAGGAUUAGAUACCCUGGUAGUCCACGCCCUAAACGAUGAUUACUCGACAUACGCGAUACACUGUGUGUGUCUGAGCGAAGCAUUAAGUAAUCCACCUGGGAAGUACGACCGCAAGGUUG